AAAGCUAAUAAGGAAAAGUGCAUCAUUUUUUCUGCCAAAAAUCCCGCUCUCAUGGAGAACCUCUCUCACUCUAUUAUUCACCGGUAAAACCUUCCUUUCCAUUUGCUAUAAAGAUUCUCCCUCCACACGUAUUCAUGAUGACUUGACUUCAAAAACCCAUAUAUCAUCUUCUUCCUUUCUACCCACAUACAGAUCUCUUUGCACAAAAAAUAAAUUAUAACCAUUUAUCUCAUUCACAACAUAACCAUAACCUAUUAUCUUCCAUUUUCAACUCACUCACACAUAUAAAAAAAAAAUCAUAAGUUCCAACCUCCAUAUUCUAUUCUUCUCAAAUAUGAAACCAACCUCGUUAAAGCCAUAACUCUCAACACAUUCAUAAUCACACAACAACAACACUCAAAUAAAGAGAAGAAACAAAGAGAAAAAGAGACGGUCGAAGCGGAAAGAGAUCCACGUUUGUUUCCGACACCAUCGAGCCUCCAUGAAACUACUGGAAUACGCAUGUCGUAGCCGCCAUAUCCGUGCAUCACCACAUCUGGGUACGCCACCGUCUUUGUGUUCUCGGAUUCACUGCAUUAGGUAGUUCCACUUUCCUUGCUUUUCAUUUGCUUAUGUGUGUUGUUUUUGCAUUUGUUUGAUUCGUCCUAUUUAUAAGAAUUUUGUUAUUCAUGUGCAACAGAAUUUGGCGAGAGAGAGUAAAUCGAAACAAUGAGUGAGAAAGAAGGAGGGGGCAGACCGCCACCCUUGCAUGUUUAUUAUGUAUACCUAAAAUGUUUGUGAUACAACCCAAACUUCUCUUAUACUAGUUAUUAAUUUAUCAUGGUUAUUUCAUUAUAUUUUUUAUAGUUUAUAUGUGUAUCAUUUGACUAUAUCACUUCUUUCGGUAGUA
rnacentral:lncRNA from 1 species